rnacentral:rRNA from 1 species
AGCAGCCGCGGUAAUUCCAGCUCCAAUAGCGUAUAUUAAAGUUGUUGUGGUUAAAAAGCUCGUAGUUGAACCUUGGGCCUGGCUGGCCGGUCCGCCUCACCGCGUGUACUGGUCCAGCCGGGCCUUUCCCUCUGUGGAACCCCAUGCCCUUCACUGGGUGUGGCGGGGAAACAGGACUUUUACUUUGAAAAAAUUAGAGUGCUCCAGGCAGGCCUAUGCUCGAAUACAUUAGCAUGGAAUAAUAGAAUAGGACGUGUGGUUCUAUUUUGUUGGUUUCUAGGACCGCCGUAAUGAUUAAUAGGGACAGUCGGGGGCAUCAGUAUUCAAUUGUCAGAGGUGAAAUUCUUGGAUUUAUUGAAGACUAACUACUGCGAAAGCAUUUGCCAAGGAUGUUCUCAUUAAUCAGGAACGAAAGUUAGGGGAUCGAAGACGAUCAGAUACCGUCGUAGUCUUAACCAUAAACUAUGCCGACUAGGGAUCGGACGAUGU